GAUGAAGAACGUAGCGAAAUGCGAUAAGUAAUGUGAAUUGCAGAAUUCAGUGAAUCAUCGAAUCUUUGAACGCACAUUGCGCCCGCCAGUAUUCUGGCGGGCAUGCCUGUUCGAGCGUCAUUUCAACCAUCAAGCCCCCAGGCUUGUGUUGGGGACCUGCGGCUGCCGCAGGCCCUGAAAAGCAGUGGCGGGCUCGCUGUCACACCGAGCGUAGUAGAUUUUAUCUCGCUCUGGGCGUGCUGCGGGUUCCGGCCGUUAAACCACCCUUUUAACCCAAGGUUGACCUCGGAUCAGGUAGGAAGACCCGCUGAACUUAAGCAUAUCAAUAAGCGGAGGA
rnacentral:misc_RNA from 1 species